AUCAUCCCUCGACUUCGUCUUCUAGAAAACCUAAGCAAUUGCAGGAGCUGGGUUUAGAUGGCCUGCGGAAAGAGACGGCGUAUUGUUCUAAAAUAUUGGGUUGUCUGAUGCUCCGCCAUGCGAGCUUCUUUGAGAAGCCGAUGCUGUGGCCGAGAAAUUGCCCGGUGACGGCAUCAUGGAUUUCGGUACUAAAUCCAAAUUGGAGAGAGGUGCCUACUCCAACGCUAAUGGCUUUGCUUAUGAGGCUUAUCUUCUCAAAUGAGGAUUGAGCAUGCAGCAGCCAAGAAUGUCAGUGGUGUUUUUGAGACCAAGUGGAAAGAAGACAUGGAGAAAAAGCGAAAUGCUAUUUGUCCUCCUCUCCGCAAGGGUUUGUCAGUCACCCAAACAGAAACAGGGCAAGGGCUCUUCUACUUCUAGAGUUCUUCAAACUCAAAGGCUUGGGAUUCUCACCCAAUUGAUUCAACGAAAGAUGAUGACUUCGCCAUACUUGUUCAUCAUGCCAUGGAUCCGAUCAGGCCUCUCAUAAUCUUUCUUCAUGUAAAGCUAGCCGAAUUCAAUCACUUGAAGAUACGAUUUGCAAAGCAAACAAGAUAAUUAAGAGUCCACUUGAUUCCCCACUAAGCAGAAAAUUGAUGCAGCCGAAUAAGGAAAGUGGAUCGUCUCGCCGUACCAUUUUGAACAUGAAGAAGUCAAUGUAUUCUGACAACAAUUUACAGGAUAACAAACAAUUUGAGAUGCUGUGUGGCUAUGACAGUGAAUAUUCUGUUCUAGAGGUCCACUUUGAACUUCACUUAAGAAAUUAGGUGUAUACCUCAAGGAAGAUGAUGAGUUGGAAGGCCAGGAUGAGGAGGCUUGUGAAUGGAGAUUGGGAGGAAGGAAAGAUCCAUUCAUGAAGUUUUCCUGUGGCCUUCCAGAUAGUCGAUGAAAUGCCUUUUCAAUAGGCUUCCAUUGCAACAUAAGAGUGCUUGGAGGACUUGUCUCUGGUCAUCUACUUGCGACUGAUUCUACAGACAGGUUGGGUGAAGGAGUUUACAAGUAUCAGCUGCUUACUUUGGCUGAGGAUUUGGGAAAACACUUUCUACCUGCAUUUGACACACCCACUGGAUUACCAUAUGCAUGGGUUAACAUAAAGGAAGGAUAUACAACUCCCAAUCAAUGCAAAAUUCCGUGGACUGUAUGGAGUGAUGGAGAAUGAGACUUACUGAAACAAGCACUUCAGGGUGUGGAAUUCAGGUUCUCUAAUUCUGGAAAUGGGAGCAUUAUCCCAAUUGACUGGAGACCCCGAAUACGAAUCUGCAGCUUUUCGUGCUCUUCGUAAAUUAUGGAGCAUGCGGAGUUCGUUGAAUUUACUUGGUACAAACACUGGAUGUAUCAACUGGGGAAUGGAUUGAAUAUUCAACUAGGAUUGAGGCUGGGGUUGAUUCAUUUUAUGAGUAUCUAUUUAAGGCUCGCAUUCGUUUUGGAAAGGGAGAGUUCUGGAGAAUGUUUCAUUCUGCUUAUAUUGCUGUGCAGGAAUAUUUCAGACAUGGUCCGAGAACAUAUACAUCAUCCACAACAAACUAGCAGAACCAAAGUGGCCCUUACCUUCAUGAAUGGAUCUCCUUCCUCCCAGCGGAUCUCGCCUUCCUCCCAAUCUCCUUUCAGAAAAGCCUGCUCAUCCUGACCUUGCAACUCAUCAUCUUCCUUGAGGUAUACACCCAAUUUCAUAAGUGGGAGUCCAAAGUGGACCUGUAGAAAAGGAUCUUCACUGCCACAGCCACACAGCAUCUCAAGUUGUUUGAGAUCCUAUAAAUGGUCCUCAAAAUACACUGACUUCUCCAUGUUCAAAAUGGCACGGCGAGCCGAUUCCCUUCCCUUUGUCCAUUGCAUCAACUUUCUGCUUGGUGGAGAAUCAGGUGGACCUUUAAUUAUCUUGUUUGCUUUCAAUAUUGUAUCUGAAAAUCGUACCUUCAGUGGCUGAAUUCGGCUAGCCUUACAUGGAGAAAGAUUAUGGGAGGCCUGAUCCAUGGCAUGACGAACAAGGGUAGUCAAGAUCAUCUUUGGUUGAAUCAACUGGGUGAGAAUCAGAAACCCCAAGCCCUUGAGUUUGAAGAACUAGAAGUAGAAGAGCUCUUACCCUGUUUCAGUUUGGGUGACACUGACAAACCCUUGACUUUGCACAAAGGACAAGUAGUCUCUAGCUUUUUCUCCAUGGCUUCUUUCCACUUGGUCUCAAAAACACCACUGCGAUUCUUGGCUGCUCCGUGCUCAUUUCUCCCAAAUGGAUAAUAUCUUAAAGCAUUUGAGAAGAUAAGCCUGACAUCAGCAACAAAGCCAUUAGGGCUGGAGUAGGCACCUCUCUCCAAUUUGGAUUUCACAGUACCGAAAUACAUCGGCCUCCCGAUGUCUUUGUUAAGACAACCUCGUGCUUCAUGAAGAACCUCGCAUGGCAGAGCAUUAUGAGACAACCUAAGAUUUUAGAACAAUACAUCGUUUCUUUCCGGCCAACGCCCAAUUUUGCCUCUUGCUCUUUUGGGUCUGAUGGAGAUCAUCUAAAUCCAGCUCCUCCAAUUGGCUAUGCUUUCUAGAAGACGAAGAGGAAGACAAGCAGUUGGCUUUUCCUCCUUGGCUACUUUCUGUUUGGUCUCAGAAACCCUAGAAGACCUCUUGCUCUUCUUGCUCCACGGCUAUGUAUCAAAAUUUUUGUUCACACUGCAAAUUCUUAUGUAAACAUACCUACUGCUCGUUGUAUUUUAUGUGUGCUGUAUCAGCUUGUCAUCAAGAAGUGAUUAUAUGGUGGGUUGAUGAAUGUUAGAUUGUAUAUUUUGUUUCUGUAGUUGAUUGCUAAGGAAUUUGGAA